rnacentral:tRNA from 1 species
UGGCUCAGUUGGUAGAGCAUGGCACUUGUAAUGCCAGUAGUGUGGGUUCGUUUCCCAC